UUAGCUCAGUUGGUAGAGCAUCUCCCUUACAAGGAGGGGGUCACUGGUUCGAGCCCGGUAUCGCCCACCA
rnacentral:tRNA from 1 species